rnacentral:lncRNA from 1 species
GACAAAUGCUCUGACAGGCUUUUUUUCCAAUGUGCAGUUCUCCAUGUGCUGCUUGGUGCUCUGACCAGAGACCUCUGCAUGGUAUGAGGCUCAGUGCGUGGGUUAAGUGGCAGAAGCCUGUAUGGACACCUGCAGCUUUUCAUGCCUGUAUGGAACAUGGCUGGGUAAGAUGGUGGCAAGAGCGAACAGCAGAAGAUGGGAGGACAGAACCUCUACAGCAUCCUGUGGUAUCUUGCAAUAAAACUGCCAGCAGGUACCUAGGAUAUAUUAACAGCCUCUCAUGGACAGCCUUUUCCAACAGUGCUGCUAUAAAGCCCAAUGCUAGGGUAAACCUGCCAGUCCAUUGCAGGAGGAAGAAUACUGAUGCAGUCCUGGGAUCAUGGGAUCAUGCUGGCUGUCUUCUAGAAGACACAGCUGUUCCUGCUCACAUGGAGCCCACAGCCAUUUCCCUUUGAGGGAGGGGGCUGUGUCUGGGAUGCAGAACCUCAGGAAAUGGUGCCUGUAUCUGCACUGCUGUGUCUCAUGUCCAUCCCUAGGGAGCUGGACCUCUGUGCUGAGGCUUUGGAAGUGCUCACUGAGUGCUGCAGGACAGUGAGCACUGCAUCUUCAUAAAUCAGGUUGGAUAUUAUGAAAAACUUAUUCUCUGAAAGAGUGGUGAGGCAUUGGAACAGGCUGCCCAGGGAGGUGGUGGAGUCACUGUCCCUGGAGGCAUUCAAGAAACGUGGAGAUGUGGUAGGGGUAUGAUUUAUUGGGCAAUAUUGAUAGUAGGCGGAUGAUUGGACUGGAUGAUCUUAGAGGUCUUUUACAACUUUAAUGAUUCUGUGAAAUGCACCCUUCCGGAUUUAUUGGAGCUUAUGCCAGAUCUCUUAUAAUGUACAGAAAAGGAGAUGUGUUCAGGUCAAUGUUUACAAGCAGUUAUAGUGUGCACCCAUUAAAUACCUCCCCUGGCCCCCAGCCACUUGUAAUAUGUGCUGUGCUCUGAGCUCUGAUCUUCUGCCUGCUCCAAGCUAUAUUUGAGUAUCCAACAAUGACUGUAAAUUAGCUGAUGCAUUUUAAUGUAGAAUAAUAGAUUUCUGGUGAAGAGCUUUCUUCUUUGUGAGUCCUUUGUGGGCUUAUUUGCAUCUUUCCACUGUGUCUGCAUGUGUGCUAGAAGUUCUGGAGAUUAACCUUAAUCUCUGACUGAAAGUAAAGCAAAGUGACAUUAGUUUGUAGAGUGGAUUCUGUGUGAGAUACAUUUAGUAAUUUUUAUUUUUCCCUUCAGUGGUCAAAAGUAAACUGCUCCCACUGAUAUUACUGGACCUAGAUUUUUAUUUCUUUCCCUCCCUCUUGAGAAUCUUUACCACUCAAGUAACUGGAGUUUUAGAGAGCUUUUGGAUCUAAUUCAUACAUGGUGUGCAGUUCCUGAGUGUGUCCUUCCUGAUAAGAAAUCAGUUGUUUCUUUGGAAGUAUUUUUUCAAUAAACAGCUUAAACUGAAUCCCUGUGGCUGUUCU